rnacentral:rRNA from 1 species
CCUACGGGAGGCAGCAGUGGGGAAUAUUGCGCAAUGGCCGAAAGGCUGACGCAGCGACGCCGCGUGGGGGAUGAAGCAUUUCGGUGUGUAAACCCCUGUUGCCCGGGACGAACAACUGGUUUUGACCAGUCUGACGGUACCGGGUGAGGAAGCACCGGCUAACUCCGUGCCAGCAGCCGCGGUAAUACGGAGGGUGCGAGCGUUGUCCGGAAUCACUGGGCGUAAAGGGCGCGUAGGCGGUCUGCUAAGCGUGUGGUGAAAGCUCGGGGCUCAACCCCGAGUCGGCCAUGCGAACUGGUGGACUUGAGCACUGUAGAGGCAGGUGGAAUUCCGGGUGUAGCGGUGGAAUGCGUAGAGAUCCGGAAGAACACCGGUGGCGAAGGCGGCCUGCUGGGCAGUAGCUGACGCUGAGGCGCGACAGCGUGGGGAGCAAACAGGAUUAGAUACCCUGGUAGUCCACGCCGUAAACGAUGGGAACUAGGUGCUUGGGGGAGCGACCCCCGAGUGCCGGCGCUACGCAUAAGUCCCGCCUGGGAGUACGACCGCAAGUUGAAACUCAAGGAAUUGACGG